GUUUAUUUUGUUAAGCGUGUUGUUUUACGGCUUGUGAAACCGUUUGUGCCUGGGUUUUUUACCAACCCUUGUAAAAGUAAUAGAACGUGUAUUGCGAUGUAACGCAUCUAUAUACAACUUUCAGCAACGGAUCUCUUGGCUCUCGCAUCGAUGAAGAACGCAGCGAAAUGCGAUAAGUAAUGUGAAUUGCAGAAUUCAGUGAAUCAUCGAAUCUUUGAACGCACCUUGCGCUCCUUGGUAUUCCGAGGAGCAUGCCUGUUUGAGUGUCAUGAAAUCUUCAACCUAAAAGCCUUUGCGGGUUUGUUAGGCUUGGACUUGGAGGCUUGUCGGCUCAUUAGUCGGCUCCUCUUAAAUGCAUUAGCUUGGUUCCUUGCGGAUCGGCUGUCGGUGUGAUAAUUGUCAACGCCGCGACCGUGAAGCGUUUGGCGAGCUUCUAACCGUCUCGUUAGAGACAGAUUAUUGACCUCUGACCUCAAAUCAGGGAGAC
rnacentral:rRNA from 1 species